ensembl:lncRNA
UUUCUGUUUGCCUGAAGUGUUCACAGCUGUUAACUGCAAUUUUUUUACAGGAGUAGACCAUGAACUUGAUGUAACAAAAGUAAUUUGUAAGACUGAGAAAAGAAGUAAUAAAACUCCUUCAGUGAUUCUGUAGGACCUAUUGCAUGGAGGUAUAAGUUCUGAUUAGCUGAGGAUGAUAUUUGUUUGUUUUCUUGUUGAGGAUUCAAUAAUAUUUCAAGUUGGAUUCAGCUGAAGGACCCUUCAGAUUCUGUCAUGUAACUGACUACUAAGAGACUUUAACUCUUUCUCUCCCACUCUACCCCGCAUCAUCUGCAGUUGAGCAUUCUUUAGGUCACCCAACUAAGUGGUUCUGGAAGCUAUAAUGAAGUCAUCCAUUACAUAUUCAAUAAAUUCGUCUGCCAUCAGAAGAAAGAGAUAGCAGUAUACCCCUCAAGGACAGUAAAGUUCUGCAGUGUUUUCUUUGCGCUUCCUUCUCCACUUUGGUCUCAACUGAUGAGGAAACAUUUUGGAGAUACUGAAGGCUGUGCUCUGUAAGUCUAAGCUUUAUUAUUGUGAGAUCAUUUUCACUCAGAGAGGCAGAACUUCUUAGUUGCUAAUCAUUAAUUUCCAUUCUCAGGUUCCUUUGUUUUUCUCCUAUAGGUCUUCCUGAGCUGAUCCUGGGAGCAAAGGCACACCAGAUAAUGCAUAUUUGAGUAUUAGGUAUUUCAAAUUCUCUGGUAUCCAACAUGGUUUUCAUCUUCUGCCUCAGGUGUGUGAGGAUAUUCCGAUCUCAUCAAUUGGACUCUCUGCUUGAAUUUCAGUGGCUGUAAGUAGGCAAAAGAA